rnacentral:rRNA from 1 species
CCUACGGGUGGCAGCAGUGGGGAAUAUUGCACAAUGGGGGGAACCCUGAUGCAGCGACGCCGCGUGAGUGAAGAAGUAUUUCGGUAUGUAAAGCUCUAUCAGCAGGGAAGAAAAUGACGGUAACUGACUAAGAAGCCCCGGCUAACUACGUGCCAGCAGCCGCGGUAAGACGUAGGGGGCAAGCGUGACCCGGAUUUACUGGGUGGAAAGGGAGCGUGGAAGGCAGAGCAAGUCUGAAGUGAAAGCCCGCGGCCCAACUGGGGGACUGCUUAGGAAACUGCCCGGCUAGAGGGCGGGAGAGGUAAGCGGAAUUCCUAGUGUAGCGGUGAAAUGCGUAGAUAUUAGGAGGGACACCAGUGGCGAAGGCGGCUUACUGGACAGUAACUGACGUUGAGGCUCGAAAGCGUGGGGAGCAAACAGGAUUAGAUACCCUAGUAGUC